GGGGGCGAAAGGUUUCGACGGGGACCGUAGGUCGGGAGUUGCGGGUCGGUUGGCUACCGUUAACAGCCUAUCCCAACAGCUCCCGAAGCUGAUCUUGCUCUCGCUGCCUAAUUAAAAAGGCAGCGCGUCCCCGGUGAGCUUGCGGGUGGCUUGCCGAAGGACGUCAGAGACACCCGCUCGGGCGGUUCCGACGCACGGUGAGGAGCCGCCGACAGGUAAUCCGUGCUUGUCCUGCCACGCCUGCCCGUGGGCAAAGGCAGGACGAGAAAUCAAACACGGGCUACGCCCGCUAAAUCUCCCGGGUGCCGAAGGUCUUCGGACGCGGGUUCGAUUCCCGCCGCCUCCACCA
rnacentral:tmRNA from 1 species